rnacentral:tRNA from 1 species
GCCCUCGAGCCGGAUUUGAACCAGCAACCUAAGGAUCACCGUUGAUACAUCUACAGUCCUUCGUUCUGCCAACUGAGAUAUCGAAGG